GUGCUCCCUUUGGCAGCACAUAAACUAAAAUUGGAACAAAACAGAGAAGAUUAGCAUGCCCCUGCACAAGAAUGACACGGAAACUCAUGAAGCAUUCCAUAUUAAA
rnacentral:snRNA from 1 species